CUGUUCAGUAUGUUAGAAAGGGAAAACAAGAAGCCUGUUAAACUCAAGGUUAGUACCCAGGCAGGCCUGCCCAGGUGGGAUGAUACAAACACAAGCACAAAGAAAACGGCAGGACGUACAUUAAUUUAUUAGAUCUUUUUUUUUUUUCUGGACUUUCUCUCCAGGCGGGAGGGAGAGAUGAAGAAAUCGCCUAGUUUUGUGACGGUGUAACCCGUUUGCAGUUGAUGGAAUGCAUACGAUAGACAAACGAUAGACACACGCUGAUGGCAGGAACGGGACGAUUUUGAUUUUUGAUGAUUUUUGAUUUUUCCGAUAUUGGGCUUGUUGUGAUGCCUGGUUCACUUAUUAUUGAUUUUUGUCGGGCUUUGAAUCGUCUUGGAGCUGCCGAUUAUUGACGAUCUCGCAUUCUCUCUUUUUCAAGAAGUAGAAAUCAAGAUGCUUCGAGAGGGAAGUGGGCGUUCCGCCCUACGCUUUUCCACUUUUUUCGGGAUAAAUACUCCGUCGCAGGAUUACGGAUGCCAAGGUUUUUUGCGGGCAAUUUUAUGCAAGCCAAAUCCGUGCAUUCGAUGUUUCUCCUCUCCAUCCCAGGCAGUUUUCAGAAGAAACCAGAGGCUUUUGAACAUAUUUGUGCAUGCAUAUGAAUCACAUCCAGAUAUUUCCAGAUACGUUAUUUAUUUUCAAGUCGAGGUAUUUAAUAACUCUGCUGUUACGGAUGGACUUGAUCAAAGGAAAUUGCACAGGAGAAUGGAAAUCCGUAGGGGCGGGUUUUGUUUCCACAAUACAAUACCA
rnacentral:sRNA from 2 species